CCAUCUAUCACACUUCCCGUUGAAAUUUCGAAUGGCCUAGGAUUACCCACUCUUCUCUAAACCAUCUCAAGAUUCCCACUAUAGCCUCGAUGGUACUUUUUUUGAAGAAGAUAACUUAUAUUAUAAACAACAGGAAUACUCAGAAAAGUAUUGCCUCGAUGGUACUUGGCAAUGUAGAACAAGAUAAUUGGCAUCUUUACCCUAAUCCUUGCACAUAAAGCACCAAUCAACAUAAGUAACCUUUUUCUGCUUCAUAGCUGCUAACCGAGUGAAAGAAUAUACCUUACGUGGUAUCUUAGGCAUCCGAAUUGAUUGAUAUGGGAAGACAACAUUUUCCCUCUUUAAAAACAUCUCAUAAUAAGACUUUACAUAAAAGACCCAUUGUUCCCCACCCCUAUUUCUCACCUUUCGCUAUCAUGUGUUCAACAUUGUUUGUGAAGCAAAGCGACUAGUCCUGGGAACUCUCCUACCUCUCAACCUUGAAGAUUUCUCCUAAACCUCAAAUUCAAAAAACCUUCUCCACCUCAUAGGCUCCCGACUCGUUGGACUGUCAUCUUCUUUUGAUAUAAAAUUCUAUAAAUGUAUGGGUAUGUAGUUCUCGAAAUAUUAUCCCCACGCCACCUAUAUCCCUAAAAGCUCACUCUCUUCACUCGAAAUAUUGCAAAUGAACUCUUCCAACUCUUGAACAUGUUCCUCCACCAACCGCAUCCAUAAGGCAUAGUAACAGUUUUUGUCCGCCACCCCUAUUCCAAGACCCUGUAUUUUUCCCUAUUACCUAUCUUCUAUGUUGCUUGGACUCUUCCAAAUGCC
rnacentral:lncRNA from 1 species